rnacentral:rRNA from 1 species
AUUGAACGCUGGCGGCAUGCCUUACACAUGCAAGUCGAACGGCAGCACGGGUGCUUGCACCUGGUGGCGAGUGGCGAACGGGUGAGUAAUACAUCGGAACAUGUCCUGUAGUGGGGGAUAGCCCGGCGAAAGCCGGAUUAAUACCGCAUACGAUCUACGGAUGAAAGCGGGGGACCUUCGGGCCUCGCGCUAUAGGGUUGGCCGAUGGCUGAUUAGCUAGUUGAUGGGGUAAAGGCCUACCAAGGCGACGAUCAGUAGCUGGUCUGAGAGGACGACCAGCCACAUUGGGACUGAGACACGGCCCAGACUCCUACGGGAGGCAGCAGUGGGGAAUUUUGGACAAUGGGCGAAAGCCUGAUCCAGCAAUGCCGCGUGUGUGAAGAAGGCCUUCGGGUUGUAAAGCACUUUUGUCCGGAAAGAAAUCCUUGGCCCUAAUACGGUCGGGGGAUGACGGUACCGGAAGAAUAAGCACCGGCUAACUACGUG